UACGGCGGGGGCUAGCGUUGUUCGGAAUUACUGGGCGUAAAGCGUACGUAGGCGGCUUUGUAAGUUAGAGGUGAAAGCCCGGGGCUCAACCCCGGAAUUGCCUUUAAGACUGCAUCGCUUGAACGUCGGAGAGGUGAGUGGAAUUCCGAGUGUAGAGGUGAAAUUCGUAGAUAUUCGGAAGAACACCAGUGGCGAAGGCGGCUCACUGGACGACUGUUGACGCUGAGGUACGAAAGCGUGGGGAGCAAACAGG
rnacentral:rRNA from 1 species